rnacentral:ncRNA from 1 species
ACAAAUUCGUUGACGAGAAAGAGUAAUGUUUCGUAUUGUUCUACAGAAAGCUGACGCCUUGAUGAAAGUCAGUGUUCAAUUGUUACAUGAAAAUCCUCUCUGAGAAGGCACGCUGAAAUGAGUAAGCAAGCCCGGGUGUCUACCGUUAAAAAGAACACGUAUGAUUGUACGUUGCUAAGUGCUAUUGGAUUGUUCAAUAGAAUUAGGGUGGUAUCGCGAGUUAACUCGUCCCUUUA